AAUGAACGUUGGCGGCGUGGAUUAGGCAUGCGAGUCGUGCGAGAACCGUAGCAAUACGGGGACAGCGGCGAAAGGGAGAGGAACACGUGGAUACCUACCCUCAGGUUCAGGAUAGCCAUGGGAAACUAUGGGUAAUACUGAAUAAUAUCUCCGGAUCAAAGGUGUGAUUCCGCCGGAGGAGGGGUCCGCGUCCUAUUAGCUAGUUGGUGGGGUAAUGGCUCACCAAGGCGAAGAUGGGUACGGGAUGUGAGAGCAUAAUCCCGCUCAUUGGGACUGAGACACUGCCCAGACACCUACGGGAGGCUG
rnacentral:rRNA from 1 species